UCUCCGUUGGUGAACCAGCGGAGGGAUCAUUACCAGAGUUUUACAACUCCCAACCCUUCUGUGAACCUACCUAUCGUUGCUUCGGCGGACUCGCCCCAGCGUCCGGACGGCCCCGCGCCGGCCCGCGACCUGGACCCAGGCGGCCGCCGGAGACCACACAAUCCUGUAUCCGUCAGUCUCUCUGAAUCCGCCGCAAGGCAAAACAAACGAAUCAAAACUUUCAACAAUGGAUCUCUUGGUUCUG
rnacentral:misc_RNA from 1 species